GCUACAUUCUGUGAUAACGUUCUGCGUGC
rnacentral:piRNA from 2 species